UAAAAUAAAAUAUUACAUUAAAUAAAAUAUAAAAAUAAAAGUUAAAUAAAUUAAAUAAAACAUUAAGGAAAGUAAAAAAUAUUUUUUUGGUAUUUUUAUGAAUAAAUAAAAUAUUUUUAUUAAUUAAAAAGCAAAACAGAAAAUAAAAUAAGAAUUAAAAAAAAUGAAAAAUAAAAUGAAUGGAUAAUGGUUGAUGGGCUUGAAUGUGAGAG
rnacentral:lncRNA from 1 species